GAUGAAGAACGUAGUGAGAUGCGAUACUUGGUGUGAAUUGCAGAAUCCCGUGAACCAUCGAGUCUUUGAACGCAAGUUGCGCCCGAAGCCAUUAGGCCGAGGGCACGCCUGCCUGGGUGUCACACACCGUUACCCUCGCGCCAACGUCCAUCGUUGGCCGCGGCGCGGGGCGUGCGCUGACCUCCCGCGAGCGGGGUCUCGUGGUUGGUUGAAAAUCGAGUUCGCGGUCGAGGGUGCCGUGAUGAAAUGGUGGAUGGGCGACGCCCGAGGCCAAUCACGCGCGACUCUGUCCGGCUCGGACUCCUGGACCCCUUCGGCGUCUCCGGACGCUCUUUGGCGAGACCUCAGGUCAGGCGGGGCUACCCGCUGAGUUUAAGCAUAUCAAAAGCGAGGA
rnacentral:misc_RNA from 1 species